rnacentral:rRNA from 1 species
CCAAUAGCGUAUAUUAAAGUUGUUGCAGUUAAAAAGCUCGUAGUUGAAUUUCAGGCCUGGCUGGACGGUCCGCCCUUCGGGUGAGUACUGUCUGUGGUCGGGUCCUACCUUCUGGCGAAGCGUCAUGGCCUUAACCGGCCGUGGCGGGGAACCAGGACUUUUACUGUGAAAAAAUUAGAGUGUUUAAAGCAGGCUCGCGCUUGAAUACAUUAGCAUGGAAUAAUGAAAUAGGACGUUGAUCCUAUUUUGUUGGUUUCUAGGAUUGACGUAAUGAUUAAUAGGGAUAGUUGGGGGCAUUAGUAUUCAAUUGUCAGAGGUGAAAUUCUUGGAUUUAUUGAAGACUAACUACUGCGAAAGCAUUUGCCAAGGAUGUUUUCAUUAAUCAAGAACGAAAGUUAGGGGAUCGAAGACGAUCAGAUACCGUCGUAGUCUUAACCAUAAACUAUGCCGACUAGGGAUCGGAUGAUGUUAUUUUUAAUGACUCAUUCGGCGCCUUACG